rnacentral:rRNA from 1 species
GACGAACGCUGGCGGCGUGCCUAAUACAUGCAAGUCGAACGCUUCUUUCCUCCCGAGUGCUUGCACUCAAUUGGAAAGAGGAGUGGCGGACGGGUGAGUAACACGUGGGUAACCUACCCAUCAGAGGGGGAUAACACUUGGAAACAGGUGCUAAUACCGCAUAACAGUUUAUGCCGCAUGGCAUAAGAGUGAAAGGCGCUUUCGGGUGUCGCUGAUGGAUGGACCCGCGGUGCAUUAGCUAGUUGGUGAGGUAACGGCUCACCAAGGCCACGAUGCAUAGCCGACCUGAGAGGGUGAUCGGCCACACUGGGACUGAGACACGGCCCAGACUCCUACGGGAGGCAGCAGUAGGGAAUCUUCGGCAAUGGACGAAAGUCUGACCGAGCAACGCCGCGUGAGUGAAGAAGGUUUUCGGAUCGUAAAACUCUGUUGUUAGAGAAGAACAAGGACGUUAGUAACUGAACGUCCCCGGACGGUAUCUAACCAGAAAGCCACGGCGAACUACGU